GCCUUCGUAGUGUAAUGGUCAGCACGCUCGACGUUUAAUCCAGAAGUCCGUGGUUCGAUUCCAUGCGAAGGCU
rnacentral:tRNA from 1 species